rnacentral:antisense_RNA from 1 species
CUCAACCAAAACAAACACUUGGACUAAGCGUUGAGUUGGUAAUUUUUCUAACCUCUCUCCAUCCCUUGGAGCCCAGCUAUCAUACAGGUCUCUAAAAUAAAGUGUCUUAAAUAUUAGAAGAAAAAUAUUUAUACCUAGCAAGAUUAGGUGAAUACCCAAAAUUAUGAUAAUUUUAUUUUUAUUUUUUCA